rnacentral:rRNA from 1 species
UUAAUUGAAGAGUUUGAUCAUGGCUCAGAUUGAACGCUGGCGGCAGGCCUAACACAUGCAAGUCGAGCGGUAGCACAAGGAGCUUGCUCCUGGGUGACGAGCGGCGGACGGGUGAGUAAUGUCUGGGAAACUGCCCGAUGGAGGGGGAUAACUACUGGAAACGGUAGCUAAUACCGCAUAACGUCUUCGGACCAAAGUGGGGGACCUUCGGGCCUCACACCAUCGGAUGUGCCCAGAUGGGAUUAGCUAGUAGGUGAGGUAAUGGCUCACCUAGGCGACGAUCCCUAGCUGGUCUGAGAGGAUGACCAGCCACACUGGAACUGAGACACGGUCCAGACUCCUACGGGAGGCAGCAGUGGGGAAUAUUGCACAAUGGGCGCAAGCCUGAUGCAGCCAUGCCGCGUGUGUGAAGAAGGCCUUCGGGUUGUAAAGCACUUUCAGCGAGGAGGAAGGGUUCGGUGUUAAUAGC